UCCGGUUUGUCACCGGCAGUCUGGUGUGAGUCCCCAACUUAAUGCUGGCAACACACCACGGGGGUUGCGCUCGUUGCGGGACUUAACCCAACAUCUCACGACACGAGCUGACGACAGCCAUGCAGCAUCUGUGGUGCACCCUCGAAGGUCACACGUUUCCGUGCGCUUGCAGCACCAUGUCAAACCCAGGUAAGGUUCUUCGCGUUGCCUCGAAUUAAGCAACAUGCUCCACCGCUUGUGUGAGCCCCCGUCAAUUCCUUUGAGUUUCAGCCUUGCGGCCGUACUCCCCAGGCGGGGCACUUCACGCGUUAGCUUAGACACGGAAGGGGUCGAUCCCUCCCACAUCGAGUGCCCAUCGUUUACGGCGUGGACUAC
rnacentral:misc_RNA from 1 species